rnacentral:rRNA from 1 species
AACAGUGACUCUUUGAUCUCGUCUGAUCUCUGAAGCAGGACUGGGCCUGGUUAGUACUUUGAUGGGAGACUGCUGAGAAUAUCAGGUGCCACAGGUG